AAAGUCGUAACAAGGUUUCCGUAGGUGAACCUGCGGAAGGAUCAUUAUUGAAUUAUGUUUCUAAGUGGGUUGUAGCUGGCUCUUUAGAGCAUGUGCACGCCUGUUUGGACUUCAUUUUCAUCCACCUGUGCACCUAUUGUAGUCUUUGGUUGGGUUAGGAGGAAGUGGUCAUCCUGUCAGCAUUUGCUGGAUGUGAGGACUUGCAUUGUGAAAACUGUGCUGUCCUUUAUGUGAUCAUGAAAUCACUUUCUCACCAGAGUCUAUGUCUUUCAUUAUACUCUGUCGAAUGUCAUUGAAUGUCUUUACAUGGGCUUGUAUGCCUAUGAAAAUUGUAAUACAACUUUCAGCAACGGAUCUCUUGGCUCUC
rnacentral:misc_RNA from 1 species